rnacentral:rRNA from 1 species
GAUGAACGCUGGCGGCGUGCUUAACACAUGCAAGUCGAACGGAGUGCCCUUGAUUGAGGAUUCGUCCAAAUGAUAGGGUUACUUAGUGGCGGACGGGUGAGUAACGCGUGAGUAACCUGCCUAGGAGUGGGGAAUAACACAGAGAAAUCUGUGCUAAUACCGCAUAAUGUCAUUUGGGGGCAUCCCUGGAUGACCAAAGAUUUAUUGCUGAAAGAUGGUCUCGCGUCUGAUUAGCUAGUUGGCGGGGUAACGGCCCACCAAGGCGACGAUCAGUAGCCGGUCUGAGAGGAUGAACGGCCACAUUGGGACUGAGAUACGGCCCAG